rnacentral:misc_RNA from 1 species
GCAUUUUCGAGCCGAAAGUGCGAAGCGCCUACGCGGGGAAAUCAGUCCACUGGACUGAUUUCUGAUCCCGCUUCGAUGCAUUGGAAAAUGCGAUAAAACAAAUAGUUAGAGCGCAUCCCGAAAAGUGUGAAACGGUUUUCGGGAAAGAUGCGCG